AUCGAGUAUCGAUUGGAACCGGGACUAACUUUCCGAUUCUCCCGGAAUCGUUCAAAAGUUUAAAUUUCGAUUCCUAGUUUCGAUACCCGGUCCGCCGACCGGAAAAAAAGAAUAAGUCCGCCGACCGGAAGAAGAAGCCGCUGAACACCAACGAAGAAGCGCCCACCGCCGGAAGUGUUAGCAUAGCCGAGCCUAUGUAGCCGAGCAAGUCAGUCAAGCAUGGAUAGCGGGCGUCGGCGGUCGAAAGUGUGGCUUUAUUUUACUAAAAAAAAUGAAAUAUCGGCGAAAUGUAACACGUGCGACAGGACUGUUUCGUGCUUAGGAGGGUACACGUCGAACAUGAUGAAGCACCUCCGAGUUCAUGGAGUACAAAUAAAUGCGUGUCCCGUCUUCGACGCGCUGCGCCGACCGUCCUCCUCUGGCUCCGACGCCCAGCCUGGCACCUCGGUGACUGCACUGCAGUCCGAAUCCGACAAUUUACAACCUGCUAGCCAGGCUCCGCGAUGUGCUCAGCGUACUCCGUUCACCGUAGCGGCAAUGGGGGAAGAUGUCGGUGCCACAGACGGAAGAGUGUCACAGAAAGGUCACUGCACACAUAGUCAAAAGACUGCAUCCCUUUCCAGAGGUGGAAUCUCCAACAUUUAGGGAUAUGGUGAAAACUCUCAACCCAAAAUACAUACCACCUUCCAGGGACUACCUGUCAAACACAUUGAUCCCGGCAUGGUACAAGAAGAAUCGGAAUCGAGAAUCGUCAGGAAUCGGAAUCGAAACAAAGAAUCGGAAUCGUACAAAUUCAAACGAUACCCAACCCUAACUCCAUGCCUCUGGACCCUGACCCGAUUCUGUCAAGGAUCGUGUGGUGACUGUCUGUGCACCAGCCUCCCCACGUAAAACAAAGUCACGCACAGGCAUCCUCCAUAAAGGGAUACACCCCUACGAGGAGGAUCGUCAUACUCGUUCGAGUAACCGCCGAUGAUGAUGAUGAUACGUUUUAUCGCCUGUCAUUUACAAAACAUGAUAACUUUGGGGAGCUUUAGAUUGCUCAAGUAAUGAGAAGUUUGACGGGGCCUGCAGGAGAAAAUGCAGAAUUUGCUGAAUUAUUUGCCUUUAGAUUGACAUUAUUUUUUAAUUGUGUCUGGUUUGAGAAAACAAGUAGGAAGUUUUUCAUAGUCUGAUGGUGAACAAAUGGAGAAUGUGGAUGUACGAACCCCGUUUUCAUAUGAGUUGGGAAAUUGUGUUAGAUGUAAAUAUAAACGGAAUACAAUGAUUUGCAAAUCAUUUUCAACCCAUAUUCAGUUAAAUAUGCUACAAA